rnacentral:rRNA from 1 species
UACGUAGGGCGCAAGCGUUGUCCGGAAUUACUGGGCGUAAAGCGCACGUAGGCGGGUAUUUAAGUCAGGGGUGAAAUCCCAGAGCUCAACUCUGGAACUGCCUUUGAUACUGGGUACCUAGAGUAUGGAAGAGGUGAGUGGAAUUCCGAGUGUAGAGGUGAAAUUCGUAGAUAUUCGCAAGAACACCAGUGGCGAAGGCGGCUCACUGGCCCGGUACUGACGCUGAGGUGCGAAAGCGUGGGGAGCAAACAGG